rnacentral:tRNA from 1 species
GGGGAUGUGGCUCAAGUGGUAGAGCACUCACCUGGCGUGUGUGAGGCACUGGGUUCGAUUCUCAGCACCA